rnacentral:lncRNA from 1 species
GCCAGGAAGAGAACCAGCUGUGCGGCAGACAAUUACGACUUUCACCUUGAGCCUGUUAACACUGCAAUACCUUGGAAAUAGUCAAGGGGGAAUUUCAAGUAGGAAGUAGGUGGUUAGACAUACAGGACUAGAAUUCAGGAGAAAGGAGGGACUAGAGUCACUGACAUGGCAGGAAGCAUACUGGAGCAGGCUGCAGGGUAAGGAGGAGGUGAAGAAAUUAAGGCAGGAUAGACAAUUUCUGAAAUGGAGCUAAGAAAAGAAGGAAAGAAAGCUCAGGGGCCACUGUUGAUUCUGAAGGUGAAGUUACCUGGAGAGGAUGAUGGAAUGUUUCCAAGGAUGGAGAGGCCGUCCUUACCCCCUCCCCAAGCCCCACCCCCUCCACUUCCCGCCUGCUGAGCUCAGCGCUUCCCAGGCCCUGCCACUGUCGUAGCCACAUCUGGGCCGGCUCUGCACAGGGACCACAGUGGUGCGCCUCCGUGGCCACGGAUGGGGUUUCCGCUGACUCAGCGCCUCAGGCUCUGGAGGCGGGAAAUCCCAGUCCUGCCCCCCCACCCCCACCUCAGGUUACAUGGGGCCACAGGGCUAUGGCUCUACAAUGUUGCUUUUCCAGGAAGCCCCCUAGCCCCAAAUCAGGGGACUCCAGUUGCUCCCCCACGGGCAUUUUUAUGCUCAAGGACUUCUUGAACCUACUUCUCAAUAGGUCGUUAUCCUUGGGGCCCAGAAAUUUGCUACCUCCCUUAGGAGGGUCACCUUGAUCAUCCCCCUGCCUCUGGACAGAACUAGACACUUUACCUGCUUCCUUCUCCUCGGAAGUCCAACCUUCUCCUCAUCCAACCUCAAUUCCCCUUGCUUCCUUGCAUUCUGAGCAUAAAGCAAAACCCUCUCCAUUGCUGGGCUGGCCCAGCGUCACCCCCUCACCCCAUCCUCCAUCCUCAGAUCUUGCCAGCAUUCACCAUAAUAAUGAUAAAAUAGCGAACAUUUAUUGAGCUCCUCUUUUGUGCCCUUGGUAAGCACUUUUACAGACUAAUUUGUUUUCUGCUCACAAAGUAUAUGCAGUCAUUAUCCCAUUUUACAGAUGAGAAAGUAAAGUCAUCGUUAAACAGUAAGUUCACAACACGAGGAUAGGGAUUUGAGCCCUUCUAACCUCAAGGAGUUAGGAGGAAUAAGGGGACCCGCUGGGUUCCACUUGUCUGGAAUUGAGUCCUGAGAAGAAGGGGUUAAUUUAGCACCCUCCCCAACUCCUGGAGGGAGCCCCCCUUCCCCCAGUUCAGACGGUCAGAGAA